rnacentral:rRNA from 1 species
GACGAACGCUGGCGGCGUGCUUAACACAUGCAAGUCGAACGAUGAAGAAGAGAAACGCGAACUUCGGUUCAAAUUUCACUUCGGAUUAGUGGCAGACGGGUGAGUAACGCGUGAGCAACCUACCUCUUACAAAGGGAUAGCCUCGGGAAACCGUGAUUAAUACCAUAUGACACAUUCAUAAGGCAUCUUAAGAAUGUUAAAGCUACGGCGGUAAGAGAUGGGCUCGCGUCACAUUAGCUAGUUGGUGAGGUAACGGCACCAAAAGGCGAAGAUGGGUAACCGGCCUGAGAGGGAGAACGGUCACAUUGGAACUGAGACACGGUCCAAACUUCUACGGGAGGCAGCAGUGGGAAAUUUUGCAAAAUGGAGGGAACUCUGAUGCCGCGACGCCGCGUGAGCGAUGAAGGAAUUCGUUUCGUAAAGCUCUGUUCUAUGGGAAGAAAAGGACUGUACCAUAGGAGAAAGCCCCGGCUAAAUACGUG